rnacentral:rRNA from 1 species
UACGGGGGGGGCAAGCGUUGUUCGGAAUUACUGGGCGUAAAGGGCUCGUAGGUGGCCAACUAAGUCACACGUGAAAUCCCUCGGCUUAACCGGGGAACUGCGUGUGAUACUGGAUGGCUUGAGUUUGGGAGAGGGAUGCGGAAUUCCAGGUGUAGCGGUGAAAUGCGUAGAUAUCUGGAGGAACACCGGUGGCGAAGGCGGCAUCCUGGACCAAUACUGACGCUGAGGAGCGAAAGCCAGUGGAGCAAACGGG